rnacentral:rRNA from 1 species
CUAGCAUAUCAAUAAGCGGAGGAAAGAAACCAACAGGGAUUGCCCUAGUAACGGCGAGUGAAGCGGCAACAGCUCAAAUUUGAAAUCUGGCCCUCGGGUCCGAGUUGUAAUUUGUAGAGGAUGCUUUUGGCGCGGUGCCUUCCGAGUUCCCUGGAACGGGACGCCUUAGAGGGUGAGAGCCCCGUACGGUUGGACACCAAGCCUCUGUAAAGCUCCUUCGACGAGUCGAGUAGUUUGGGAAUGCUGCUCUAAAUGGGAGGUAAAUUUCUUCUAAAGCUAAAUAUUGGCCAGAGACCGAUAGCGCACAAGUAGAGUGAUCGAAAGAUGAAAAGCACUUUGAAAAGAGGGUUAAACAGCACGUGAAAUUGUUGAAAGGGAAGCGUUUGCGACCAGACCUUUUCCUGGCGGAUCAUCCGGUGUUCUCACCGGUGCACUUCGCCAGGUUGAGGCCAGCAUCGGUUUCUGUAGGGGGAUAAAAGCUCUGGGAACGUAGCUCCUUCGGGAGUGUUAUAGCCCUCUGCAUAAUACCUUUACGGGGACCGAGGACCGCGCUUCGGCAAGGAUGCUGGCAUAAUGGUCGUCAACGACCCGUCUUGAAACACGGACCAAGGAGUCGAACAUUUGUGCGAGUGUUAGGGUGUUAAACCCUCACGCGUAAUGAAAGUGAACGGAGGUGAGAGCCCUUACGGGUGCAUCAUCGACCGAUCCUGAUGUCUUCGGAUGGAUUUGAGUAAGAGCAUAACUGUUCGGACCCGAAAGAUGGUGAACUAUGCGUGGAUAGGGUGAAGCCAGAGGAAACUCUGGUGGAGGCUCGCAGCGGUUCUGACGUGCAAAUCGAUCGUCAAAUCUGCGCAUGGGGGCGAAAGACUUAUCGAACCAUUUUGGUUGU